rnacentral:rRNA from 1 species
AUUGAACGCUGGCGGCAGGCCUAACACAUGCAAGUCGAACGAGUGGCGGACGGGUGAGUAAUGUCUGGGAAACUGCCUGAUGGAGGGGGAUAACUACUGGAAACGGUAGCUAAUACCGCAUACCAUCGGAUGUGCCCAGAUGGGAUUAGCUAGUAGGUGGGGUAACGGCUCACCUAGGCGACGAUCCCUAGCUGGUCUGAGAGGAUGACAUGCCACGAGGAAACGGAGACACGGUCCAGAGUCCUACGGGAGGCAGCGGUGGGGAAUAUUGGACAAUGGGCGCAAGCCUGAUGCAGCCAUGCCGCGUGUAUGGAGAAGGCCUUCGGGUUGUAAAGUACUGUCAGCGGGGAGGCGUUACCCGCAGAAGAAGCACCGGCUAACUCCGUGCCAGCCGCCGCGGUAAUUC